GCACUGCUGAAGAGUCCUCCAAUUGAACGAAACGGCCGUCCUGUGC
rnacentral:hammerhead_ribozyme from 1 species